rnacentral:rRNA from 1 species
ACCACCACGGUGAAACAGCCUACCAAUAACANNAACAGAGCCGGCAUCAGNGCAAUCUGCCCAUAACGCCAAGCAACCNNNAGCCACACCCUCACGGGCCUGCAGCAGUACUUAAUAUUGGGCUAUAAGCGGAANNNNNGCUUGACCUAAUAACGGGGCCNANCCANGGGCCGGUUAAUCUCNGUGCCAGCGACCGCGGUUACACGACAGACCCGAGAUAACAUAAUCGGCGUAAAGCACGACUAGAAUAANAGUCANCCAUAUNNUAGAGCUGAAGAANAAACUGGGCUGUAAAAAGCCAUAAGCCACCCNAAACUACAACCUCNUAAUAANCUAANCUACUUUCACUCAUGAAAGCGGGGGUACAAACUAGGAUUAGAUACCCUACUAUGCCCCGCUGUAACCCAACAAUCAAAUAACCAAUUGUUCGCCAAAUGACUACGAGUAAAAACUUAAAAUUUAAAAGACUUGACGGUACUUCACAACAGCCUAGAGGAGCCUGUCUAAUAACCGAUAAUCCACGAUUAACCCCACCCGUUUUUGCCCAANCAGUCUAUAUACCGCCGUCGCCAGCUUACCUUGUAAAAGAAACAAANGCAAGCCAAAUAGCACNCACCCUAAUACGACAGGUCGAGGUGUAACAAAUAAACGGGACAAAGAUGGGCUACAUUUUCUUUACAAGAAUAAACGAAUAUANGUGUGAAAUAACAACCUAAAGGCGGAUUUAGUAGUAAGAUGAGAACAUNAACACCCAUCUGAAACCAAUGCAAUGAAGUGCGUACACACCGCCCGUCAUCCCUGUGAAAUAACAAAAAUACUCCAUAAACAAACAUACNUACCUANAAACAGGGCAAGUCGUAACAC